GACGAACGCUGGCGGCGUGCUUAACACAUGCAAGUCGAACGGUGAACGAGGGAGCUUGCUCCCUCCGGAUCAGUGGCGAACGGGUGAGUAACACGUGAGCAAUCUGCCCCGAACUCUGGGAUAAGCGUUGGAAACGACGUCUAAUACCGGAUACGACGCGGGAGGCAUCCUCUCCGCGUGGAAAGAACUUCGGUUCGGGAUGAGCUCGCGGCCUAUCAGCUUGUUGGUGAGGUAACGGCUCACCAAGGCGACGACGGGUAGCCGGCCUGAGAGGGUGACCGGCCACACUGGGACUGAGACACGGCCCAGACUCCUACGGGAGGCAGCAGUGGGGAAUAUUGCACAAUGGGCGCAAGCCUGAUGCAGCAACGCCGCGUGAGGGACGACGGCCUUCGGGUUGUAAACCUCUUUUAGCAGGGAAGAAGCGAAAGUGACGGUACCUGCAGAAAAAGCACCGGCUAACUACGUG
rnacentral:rRNA from 1 species